rnacentral:rRNA from 1 species
AACGAACGCUGGCGGCAGGCCUAACACAUGCAAGUCGAACGCUCCGCAAGGGGAGUGGCGCACGGGUGAGUAACACGUGGGAACCUACCUUCUGGUACGGAACAACCAAGGGAAACUUUGGCUAAGACCGUAUACGACCUCCGGGUGAAAGAUUGAUCGCCGGAAGAGGGGCCCGCGUCCGAUUAGGUAGUUGGUGAGGUAACGGCUCACCAAGCCUUCGAUCGGUAGCUGGUUUGAGAGAAUGACCAGCCACACUGGGACUGAGACACGGCCCAGACUCCUACGGGAGGCAGCAGUGGGGAAUCUUGGACAAUGGGCGCAAGCCUGAUCCAGCCAUGCCGCGUGAGUGACGAAGGCCUUAGGGUUGUAAAGCUCUUUUGCCGGGACGAUAAUGACGGUACCCGGAGAAUAAGUCCCGGCUAAC